AGGGUUUGAUCAUGGCUCAGGACGAACGCUGGCGGCGGGCCUAACACAUGCAAGUCGAACGCACUCGACCUUCGGGUCAUAUGAGUGAGUGGCGAACGGGUGAGUAACACGUGAGAAACCUGCCCCGAAGACUGGAAUAACCCGAGGAAACUCGGGCUAAUACCGGAUGCCCCCAACUGAUCGCAUGAUCAGUUGAGGAAAUGCUCCGGCGCUUCGGGAGGGUCUCGCGGCCUAUCAGCUAGUUGGUGAGGUAACGGCUCACCAAGGCAACGACGGGUAGCUGGUCUGAGAGGACGAUCAGCCACACUGGGACUGAGACACGGCCCAGACUCCUACGGGAGGCAGCAGUGGGGAAUCUUGCGCAAUGGACGAAAGUCUGACGCAGCCACGCCGCGUGAGGGAUGAAGGCUUUCGGGUCGUAAACCUCUUUCAGCAGGGAAGAAAAUGACGGUACCUGCAGAAGAAGCUCCGGCCAACUACGUGCCAGCAGCCGCGGUAACACGUAGGGAGCAAGCGUUGUCCGGAUUUAUUGGGCGUAAAGAG
rnacentral:rRNA from 1 species